UGAACGAGUGACUAGGUGUGGCAGGAGAGUGAGGAGGGACAGGAGAUGAACGAGUGACUAGGUGUGGCAGGAGAGUGAGGAGGGACAGGAGAUGAACGAGUGACUAGGUGUGGCAGGAGAGUGAGGAGGGACAGGAGAUGAACGAGUGACUAGGUAUGACAGGAGAGUUAGGAGGGACAGGAGAUGAAGGAGUAAAUUGUGUAUGUUAGGAGAGUAAGGAAGGAAAGGUGAUGAGGGAGUGAAUCAGGUAUGACAGGAGAGUUAGGGGGGAUAGGAGAUGAAGGAGUGAAUCAGGUAUGACAGGAGAGUAAGGAGGGACAGGAGAUGGAGGCACGUGUUGUGAAACUGAUUAAAAAGUAUAACAAUAAGUCCUUGAUACUAUUGAAAGGCAAAGUGUGUUUGUGAGUUUUUGUGUGUGUAUGUGUGUGUGUGUCUAUGUAUAAGCUUGUGUGUGUUUGUUUAUUUGUAAAUUAAUCGUUGUGUGUUAUUCUUUGUGCGUGCGUU
ensembl:lncRNA